GAGAGGGAACCAUCUGCAAAAAAAGAACCCCAAAGCAGGGCGGGUGGGGGGGGCAGAUCCAGACCAGCGGAGACCCCAGCAAGCUGGUUCACUGUGGACCAACUCUGCGCCUGUGCGGGCAUCCCCAGUGCUUCUAGAAUGGGGGCGCCCAAGGAAGAAGGCAGGCUGUGAGAAUCUGGGUACCACCAAGGCGGUCUCAAGGAGAAGCGCGGGGGCUGGGGAACGGGAGGAUUAAAGCCAGCAUCCACUCUGGGAAAGGAGCGGGCACCGAAGAAGGAGGGAAAAAAAAAAAUCUCCUUGACGCUGUCACCUCCAGGGACCUAAGGUGGCCUCUUGCUCACCUUGGAGAAUAACAAUCUCUGAUGUCUGGCAAUAACAGAAAUGCUUCCAGAGGUCUUCUUUCGUCCAUCCUGACAAUGACCAGGGAAGGCCCUGUGUGGAAUGCAGCCUCUGAGAAAAGCACUCCUCACCACUCAAAACCCACUGAAGCAUGCCCAGCCCUGAGAGGGGCUUCUAAGAAUGCAGAGCAGGAGCUGCCUCUGCAACAGUCAGCAGUUAACUGCCUGAGAACACAGGGGAGGGGGUUGUCUUUAAGGAAGAGAAAUGGGUCCUACCUACGUGUGUGGGAGGCGGCUUAUUUGCUUACCUCUAGAGCUGACGGGUUUUGAAGGGUUGUGGGUGACACCUGUGGUGGCUGGAGCUGGGAGAAGCCCGUCCAGUCAUCCAUUGCUUCAUCACCCAUCUCUCUGCCCACAGAUUUCUCACCCACUCUGACAGCCUCCGAGCAAGGUCCCUGCUGGGCAACACUGAUGAAGUCCGUGCCGCGCUGGACCUGAUGGGGAUAAAAUGAUGGUUCUCUUCAAAAACUCUUGUUCAGGGAGUCCCCAUCGUGGCGCAGCGGAAACGAAUCCGACUAGGAACCAUGAGGUUGUGGGUUCGAUCCCUGGCCUCGCUCAGUGGGUUAAGGAUCCAGCGUUGCCGUGAGCUGUGGGGAGCUCAGAUCUGGCGUGGCUGUGGCUGUGGCUGUGGUGCAGGCUGGCAGGUGCAAUUCCAAUUCAACCCUUGGCCUGGGAACCUCAAUAUGCCGUGAGUGCAGCCCUUAAAAAAAAAAAAAAAAAAGAAGAAGAAGAAGAAGACAAAAAAAAUAAAAGGACACAGAGACAGACA
rnacentral:lncRNA from 1 species